rnacentral:rRNA from 1 species
CAGCAGCCACGGUAAUACAGAGACUGCAAGCGUUAUUCGGAUUCACUGGGCGUAAAGGGUGCGCAGGCGGCCAUGUGUGUGAGGCGUGAAAGCCCGAUGCUUAACAUCGGAAUUGCACCUCAAACUACAUGGCUAGAGCAUUGGAGAGGGUAGCAGAAUUCAUGGUGUAGCAGUGAAAUGCGUAGAUAUCAUGAGGAAUACCAGAGGCGAAGGCGGCUACCUGGACAAUUGCUGACGCUCAGGCACGAAAGCGUGGGGAGCAAAAGGGAUUAGAUACCCCCGUAGUCCCUGUCUCUUAUAA